rnacentral:rRNA from 1 species
GAUGAACGCUAGCGGCAGGCCUAAUACAUGCAAGUCGAACGAGAUUAAGAGGCUUGCUUCUUAUGAAAGUGGCGCACGGGUGCGUAACGCGUAUGCAACCUACCUUAAUCAGGGGGAUAGCCCGAAGAAAUUCGGAUUAAGACCGCAUAAAAACACAGGAUAGCAUUAUCCAAUGUUCAAAUAUUUAUAGGAUUAAGAUGGGCAUGCGUGUCAUUAGCUAGUUGGCGGGGUAACGGCCCACCAAGGCGACGAUGACUAGGGGAUCUGAGAGGAUGACCCCCCACACUGGUACUGAGACACGGACCAGACUCCUACGGGAGGCAGCAGUAAGGAAUAUUGGUUAAUGGAGGGAACUCUGAACCAGCCAUGCCGCGUGCAGGAAGACAGCCCUCUGGGUCGUAAACUGCUUUUAUUCGGGAAUAAACCUUUCUACGUGUAGGAAGCUGAAUGUACCGAAGGAAUAAGGAUCGGCUAACUCCGUG